rnacentral:tRNA from 1 species
GGGUAUAUACUUUAUUUAGAAGAUUUGAUUUGCACUCAAAAGGAGAGAUUAUCUAUAUCCA